rnacentral:rRNA from 1 species
UCUGUUUACAAGCUCCUGCUUCUGGAUGAGCCCGCGUCCAUCAGCUAGUUGGUAGGGUAAUGGCCUACCAAGGCUACGACGGGUAGCUGGUCUAAGAGGAUGGCCAGCCACACUGGAACUGAGACACGGUCCAGACUCCUACGGGAGGCAGCAGUGGGGAAUCUUGCGCAAUGGGCGAAAGCCUGACGCAGCGACGCCGCGUGGGUGACGAAGGCCUUCGGGUUGUAAAGCCCUGUGGGGUAGAACGAACUGGCAUCGGGCUAAUAUCCCGGUGUCUUGACGGUACUGCCUUAGCAAGCAUCGGCUAACUCUGUGCCAGCAGCCGCGGUAAGACAGAGGAUGCGAACGUUGCUCGGAUUUACUGGGCGUAAAGCGCGUGUAGGCGGUCUCGUUAGUCGGGUGUGAAAGCCCCGGGCUCAACCCGGGAAGUGCACCCGAUACUGCGAGACUGGGGUACUGAAGAGGAGAGCGGAAUUCCGGUGUAGAGGUGAAAUUCGUAGAUAUCGGGAGGAACACCAGUGGC